rnacentral:rRNA from 1 species
UACGUAGGCAGCAAGCGUUGUUCGGAGUUACUGGGCGUAAAGGGUGCGUAGGUGGCUCUAUAAGUAUGGGUGUGAAAUCUCCCGGCUUAACUGGGGAGGGUGCGCCGUAGACUGUGGGGGCUAGAGUGUGGGAGAGGAAAGUGGAAUUCCUGGUGUAGCGGUGAAAUGCGUAGAUAUCAGGAGGAACACCGGUGGUGUAAACGGCUUUUCUG